rnacentral:rRNA from 1 species
UACGUAGGGGGCUAGCGUUAUCCGGAAUCACUGGGCGUAAAGGGUGCGUAGGCGGUCUUUCAAGCCAGAAGUGAAAGGCUACGGCUCAACCGUAGUAAGCUUUUGGAACUGUAAGACUUGAGUGCAGGAGAGGAGAGUGGAAUUCCUAGUGUAGCGGUGAAAUGCGUAGAUAUUAGGAGGAACACCGGUGGCGAAGGCGGCUUACUGGACUGUAACUGACGCUGAGUCACGAAAGCGUGGGUAGCAAACAGGAUUAGAUACCCUGGUAGUCCCUGA